rnacentral:rRNA from 1 species
GAUGAACGCUAGCGGGAGGCUUAACACAUGCAAGUCGAGGGGCAGGCACGGGAUAGCAAUAUUCUGGUGGCGACCGGCGCACGGGUGAGUAACACGUAUGCAACCUACCUCGUACAGGGGGAUAACCCGGAGAAAUUCGGACUAAUAUCCCAUAAUGAUAUUGAGAGGCAUCUUUUAAUAUUUAAAGCUCAGGCGGUACGGGAUGGGCAUGCGGAACAUUAGCUAGUUGGCAGGGUAACGGCCUACCAAGGCUGCGAUGUUUAGGGGACCUGAGAGGGUUAUCCCCCACACUGGUACUGAGACACGGACCAGACUCCUACGGGAGGCAGCAGUGAGGAAUAUUGGUCAAUGGGCGCAAGCCUGAACCAGCCAUCCCGCGUGAAGGAAGAAGGCGCUAUGCGUUGUAAACUUCUUUUCCAGGGGGAGAAUUUUUCCGUCGUGACGGGAAUUGACGGUACUCUGGGAAUAAGCAUCGGCUAACUCCGUG